GAAACAUGCCCCCAGUCUGUCUCCAACAGUGGGGAGAGGGGGGAGACAGUUCCCCCAAAGUGUUUUGUGCGUUCGGGGAGCAAGUGUGCAUGGGUGUGCGGGCUGGUGGGUGUGCAGCUGUCUGCGAGACAGAUGGCUCCGGGGUCAGGUUCUGACUAACUGCCCCCUCCCCUGACAGAUGCCAGUGAGGGCUGCACCGUGGUCGGUGGGGGCGUCCAGCCCUACCUAUAGAAGCCCCAGCUCAGCAAUGCAAGUAAGUGGGGACCCUGGUGUCACCUCCCACGCCCCCCCCCCAGCCUCCCUCCACCGAGUGAGCUGUAAACUUGCUUAAUGUAUGUUUGCUGCCUCUGGUCCUGGAGUCUGAGGACAGAGCACUGCAGCGUUCUUCGGUCUUUUUGUUUUGUUUUGUUUUGUUUUUCCUUUAAGUGGGAACCUAGCUGGUCUCUAUAGAGUCCCCCCUUUUCCACUCCAGUUCUGGUUUGAAGAAUCACUCCUUUCACUGGAAUAUGUAUGUGGCACCAGUGCUGUUGUCUUCUCUUUGAAAAAUAGAUUACUAAAAUUUGGGUAUCUGUAUGCAGUUGGGGACCGUUUUUACUGCACUGCACACAUAAGUAGACACUGGCGCUGAUGAGCUGGUGGUGCAGAGCGUGGGGCAUCAGAGCCUUUAGAGGUGGUGUUUGCACAGUAAGCCCGAAGAGAAGUGAGCCGCACUGGCCGUUUAUCAGGCCAGGCCCCCGUGUCCAGAUGGAAUAGAUAGGAGCCUGCAGUUUGCCUGGCUCACAGCAGCAUCUCGGAAAAAUACCUACUUUACAACUAGGCAAAAUUACUAAUCACAGAUCUCGAAGAUGUUGGGAGAGAGGCGGAAUCAUUUCAGGUCGACUCAUUUUUGUAAUGUGAUAACGUUGAUGUGGAACUGAAGGAUUUGGGAUGAUUUGGUUUUUUCCUUGGUCCACAGGUAGGUGUCACAAUUGCUUUGGAAAAAAAAAAAAGUCAGCAGGCCAUUCUCUCUCCCCAAGUUCAUAAAUAUACAGAUAGAAAAAACCAUCUCUAAAUCCGGACCGCAUCUUGCCCCACUGUAAACGAGGAGCCACAGACUCUGACAGAACAGACCUUUGUUGGACAUAACGUGAAUUUGUUGGCAUAGUAUAGCGUCCCCCGAUGUACGUGUGACUUUUGAAAACAAUCUUUUUUCUCAGGAUAUCUUGAAUUGAUCACUUCAUUGCCACGGUAUAUAUUCUAUAGGUGUGAUAGGAUUUACUGUAAAAUUUAUUUGUAAAAGAUGUACACAGUAGAAAUAAAACGUGAUUGAAGAACUUGAGUACUUAAGAAGUGGAAACAAAUUUGAUAUUUAUUUUUAUAAUGAUAUAAAGCUUCUAGUAAUUUAUGCAAGUUGUAUUGCAAUGGAAUCUAAACUUUUUGUAAAUAAAUUCUGCCUGGUUUUUAUUUGAACAUUGCUGGUUAUACAAUCUUUGUUGGUUGUUUAACAAGAAUUCUCUACUAAUUUAUAUCUUAAAUUGUAAAUAAAAACAGACUAGUCUAC
rnacentral:lncRNA from 1 species